rnacentral:lncRNA from 10 species
CAGUUACAGACAUAUCCGGAAGACCCUUUUAUGCUCUUAAAGAUGAAGAAAAGCAGAUCACUCUAAGAAUGACAGGUUUCCUGGGUGCUGUGAAGCAUACCUAAACAGAUAGCUGCAAAGAAGGAUCUUUUCUCUAUUUCAAGACAUGAACACUGCCCCAUCCCCACUCCUGGUAUUUUGUACCCUAAACAAAAUUGGGUAUUUGCCUGAUAUAACCUGAAAAAGGUGGUGCAUUAUACUUUACAUAGUGAUUUAUAGUUUACAGGCUGCUUUUACGAUGGUCUCAUUUAGUUUUCCAAAAUCAAGCUGUGAUAUAGUGCUAUUAUUCCCCUUUUUAAAAAGAGGAAAUGGGGGACAUGUGAGGGUAAGUGAGUGGUUCAAGGUCACACGACUAGUCAGCAGCAGAACCAGGACUAGAAUUGCAAGCCCAGUGUUCUUGAGGGUUGAGCCCCAGGAAACUCUGUCCAGGGCUUUGCCAUCAUGGGGAUUUGCCCGACCGCCCUUAGGCAGCGGAGGGAUGGAGUGCAGAGACAACUGGCCUUCAUCCUUUGUCCCAAGCCCUGCCCUCUGGGAAGUCCAGGACCAGAGAGCCGCAAGGGUGACAUUGUGAUCCACCUCAGUUGAAUGGCAGUAAAAUGAUCAAGCCCUUGUUCUGAAUGACUUUACCUCGAGGUGACGUCUUCCACAAGACUGACUGUGACAUUAAAAAUGGAUGAGGCCGGGGACGUUUUCCACCCAGAGCUCAACAGAAACUGGCAAGUGUCAAAUUUGAAAUUUUGCACUGCAGCUCACAAGCAUCUACUGACCUAAGACAUGAAGGCUCCAACCUGGAAACAAUCCAGGACUAAAUGUUGACAACUAACUCAGGGAGAGAGAGGGAGAAUAUAAAAUGCCUGGGCAUGGCAGCAGCAAAGGGCUUUGGGUCUUUACCUGCAGUUGUGGGCAAGUAGAAAAUAAUCCAUGCAGGAUUCAAGACCUGCCUUCUCAUCCUGACCCUGUGCAAUGAUUGGAAUGUGCCCCCUUCAAAAUUCAGGCAUUGCAAAUGUGAUUGCAUCAGAAGAUGGGGCCCGUAAGAGGUGAUUAGGCCAUGAAGUCUUCUCUCUCAUUAAUGGGAUUAAGGCGCUUGUAAAGAGGCUUCACUGCAGCUUUAGGUUAGCUUGCCCUUCUGCCUCCAGCCAUGUGAAGACGGCAUGGAAGAUGCCCACCAGACCAUCUAGCUGGUGCCUAGAUCUUGUAGUUCCCAGCCUCUGGAACUGUAAGAAAUAAAUUUCUGUUCUUUAUAAGUUAUCCAGGCUCAGGUAUCUUGUUGUAGCAGCACAAAUGAACUAAGACACCCGCCACUGUGUUGUGUGACUCUGAGCAGAUGGUUUCCCCUCCCCAGAACUAAGUUUUUCUUUAACUUUUAAAAAGAAAUUAAGGGCUGGGAC